AGUACCAUCUGGUGUAUAUUUUGUAUGAGUUUUCUUGCAGCCUUGCCGAGCUAGGUGUUUUUUGUAUCAGGGUGAUGUUUUUGUCCCAGGCUGCUUCUGUCAUGGGUUCUUCCAGGUCUUCCUCACAGUUUCUCAUACAAGGGGGUGCCAGUAUAUACCUUCCUGUAACCAGCAUUGCAUAUAUCUGUGAAAUGGCACGUGGGGUUUCGGUUUCUUGCGUACAGAGUAGUUCGAAUUGUGUGGGGUCUCUCAGUAAUGAUGGUUUUUGCGGGAUAGACCGAGCAUAUCCUACUAUUUGUGCUCUCGCCAGUGUGUGUGCAAAGG